rnacentral:misc_RNA from 1 species
GAAAGAGGAUAUGCUGCUGACAAUGAUGCCCACAAAGGAACGACAGGUACACUAGCCAGAGCAGGAUUUUCAGGGUGUGAAUUUUCAGGGUCAAUACUCACGCCGUGGAGACUAAGGGUCUGUUUGGAUGAGGGUGAAGGAGGGAUAAAUAAAAGUAUAAAGGGUUGAGCUAAUGAAGGGUAAGAGUAAGUAAAAGUAAACCUUACCUCCCUUGCCCCAUCCCAAUUUUUCUUACAAGAGGGAGAGGUAAGAGCUAUAAAUUAUUUAUUUCUUAUGCUCCUAAAAUUUACCCUUUCACCUCUUCCCAAAUAUAGAAAAUAUACAUUAACUUUCUUUACCUUUUCAUUAAUUUAUCCCUUUCCAAACAUGAAUUUUUUUAUUAUAAUUCUCCUUAUCCUUCCUUCUACUGGCGCAUUCUUAGUCUUCCAUUAAUUAGGCUUUUCUGACCCCAUCCAAAAGAGCCGAAAUUGCAUGUCACCAUCUCUCCACUCAAACACCAUCACAAAGACUAGGAAGAGGAAGAGAAUGCACCAGCUGCCAAUGAUGAGGACACCGAAGCUCAAAGAGGUCACCCUCACCCCCAGUGAGGAAUCUGACGUGGCUGCCCCAUCUUUUUAUGGGUUUUUUUUUUUUUU